rnacentral:rRNA from 1 species
AUGCGGCGGGCGAGCUGGAUGUCCUUGGGCAUGAUGGUGACGCGCUUGGCGUGGAUGGCGCACAGGUUGGUGUCCUCGAACAGCCCCACCAGGUACGCCUCGGCCGCCUCCUGGAGGGCCAGCACGGCGUGGGACUGGAAGCGGAGGUCCGUCUUGAAGUCCUGCGCGAUCUCCCUCACCAGGCGCUGGAACGGCAGCUUGCGGAUCAGCAGCUCCGUGCUCUUCUGGUACUUGCGGAUCUCCCGGAGCGCCACGGUACCGGGCCUGUAG